rnacentral:rRNA from 1 species
UACGGAAGGUCCAGGUGUUAUCCGGAUUUAUUGGGUUUAAAGGGAGCGUAGGCCGCAGGUUAAGUGUGUUGUGAAAAGCAGUCGCCCAACGUCUGCCUUGCAGCGCAAACUGUCCUGCUUGAGUGCGCACAACGCAGGCGGAAUUCGUCGUGUAGCGGUGAAAUGCUUAGAUAUGACGAAGAACUCCGAUUGCGAAGGCAGCUUGCGGGAGCACAACUGACGCUGAAGCUCGAAAGUGCGGGUAUCGAACAGG